CCCUUAGAUGUUCUGGGCCGCACGCGCGCUACACUGACGAAGUCAGCGAGCAUGUCCUACGCCGACAGGUGCGGGGAAUCUUGUCAAACUUCGUCGUGAUGGGGAUUGAUUUUUGAAAUUCUUGAUCAUAAACGAGGAAUUCCUAGUAAGCGCAAGUCAGCAGCUUGCAUUGAUUACGUCCCUGCCCUUUGUACACACCGCCCGUCGCACCUACCGAUUGGAUGGUCCGGUGAAGCCUCGGGAUUGUGGUUCUUGCCGCUUUAUUGUGGCGUGACCGCGAGAACUUGUCUAAACCUUAUCAUCUAGAGGAAGGUGAAGUCGUAACA
rnacentral:rRNA from 1 species